rnacentral:rRNA from 1 species
AUUGAACGCUGGCGGCAUGCCUUACACAUGCAAGUCGAACGGCAGCACGGGUCCUUCCCCCUGGUUGCGCGUGGCACGCGUGUGAGUAAUCUAUCGGACCAUCUCCUGGUGUGGGGUAUCGUCCGGCGACGGCCGCUUUUAUACCACAUGUGCUCUACGGAUGAGAGCGGGAUCCCUGCACCCCUCGCUCUCUAGUGUUCCCCGAUGGCGGAUUAGCUAGUUGGUGGGGUAAAGGCCUACCAAGGCGACGAUCAGUAGCUGGUCUGAGAGGAUGACCAGCCACACUGGAACUGAGACACGGUCCAGACUCCUACGGGAGGCAGCAGUGGGGAAUUUUGGACAAUGGGCGAAAGCCUGAUCCAGCAAUGCCGCGUGUGUGAAGAAGGUCUUCGGGUUGUAAAGCACUUUAGGUUGGGAAGAAAGGCUGGGAGCUAAUACGGUCGGGGGAUGACGGUACCGGAAGAAUAAGCACCGGCUAACUACGUG